rnacentral:lncRNA from 1 species
GCCAGCCAAAGGUGUGACAGUUCAGUGGGGAAAGUGGAAGGGUGAUCUAUGGCACUAGGUGCCCCCUCUUCCUUAAAGUUUCUUUUUUUUUGCUCUCUCUCUCUCUCUCUCACUCUCUCUCUCUCUCUUUCUCUCUCCCAGGAGACCUGCUGUGCCCCAGGUCCAGACUGAAACUUUGCAAGGGAAAGAAUGUAUUAGAAGGUUCCAGCCCGAGGAUUUCAGAAACCAGGGUUACAGGCAAACAUUCAAAAAGUGCGAUGGAAAACGAACGAUCUCCCCCAAAGGAAGAUCGGAUAGAGUUCCGCGACUGCAGGCUCCAAAUUGCCUCUGUUGCCACAAAGAAGAUCCACAAUUUCCCAUUCGUGGGGAUCCAAGGCGUUUAGGAAACCUGAGAAGGUUUUUCGGAAUUUCAAGUGCCCACUUCACCCCAAGACUCCGGGAGAGGAAGAGAAGGCCCCAGAGGAGGAAGGAGGAGACUCGAACGGCCCGCCCACCCCUGCACCCACCAAACCACAAGCUUUAA